rnacentral:rRNA from 1 species
CCUACGGGGGACUGCAGUGAGGAAUAUUGGUCAAUGGACGGGAGUCUGAACCAGCCAAGUCGCGUGAAGGAUGACUGCCCUAUGGGUUGUAAACUUCUUUUAUAUGGGAGUAAAGUGUUCCACGUGUGGGGUUUUGUAUGUACCCUGUGAAUAAGGAUCGGCUAACUCCGUGCCAGCAGCCGCGGUAAUACGGAGGAUCCGAGCGUUAUCCGGAUUUAUUGGGGUUAAAGGGUGCGUAGGUGGAAUGUUAAGUCAGCCGUGAAAGUUGGCGGCUCAACCCUAAAAUUGCAGUUGAAACUGGGAGUCUGGAGUAGAGGAGAGGUAGGCGGAAUGCGUGGUGUAGCGGUGAAAUGCAUAGAUAUCACGAAGAACUCCGAUUGCGAAGGCAGCUCACUGGAGUGCAACUGACACUGAGGCUCGAAAGUGUGGGUAUCAAACAGGAUUAGAUACCCGAGUAGUC